CUGGAGCCCGGGAUCUUCGCUUGGGAGCCAACAUCUGGUGGGAAUCUCACCGUGUUGGUCGCUGUGUUCGUCAUUGUUGCCAUCCUCAUCCUCAUCGUCCUCAUUGGAUUUGGAGUCUGGAGGCUCCAGUCUGGGAGGAGGGACGGGAAAGGAUACAACCCGGCAGCUGGUGAGUUCCAAUGGUGGAUUCAGCUCUGGAUCCCCUCUGUGCGGAUCCCAGGACAGAUCUGGGGGUUAAUCCCUGUGUGUGAUCCAUGCUGGAAUCUCA